AUGUGGAGGUCCCUGGGCUGGGACUGGACACUGGAUUCCCAAGGGUCGAGUGGGGAUCUGCUUAGUGUGACUGGCCCCGUGCGAAUUUCUUUCCAGGCCAACACACCGAUCCGGAGGACGACGGGGGCGUCCAAGACGGCCUGUGUUGCAGGCUCGGCAGGGAUGUGCCGCCCACGGUCGAGCCUCCGCUCCCGAGAGCGUGCCUGGAGGAAUACUCCUGGACCUGCGCCACGGACGUCGGCCAGUCCGAGUCCUGCUGGACUCAGUCGAGCAGUGCCGUCUUCUGCUUCCAGGGCCUGGCCGUCUCCUCCCUGGCAGACACCCCCAGUGAGUAUUGCCGCUGUGCAGGGGAUAAGGCUCCAGCUGGACUCCCUGGGCGGUCGGUGUCCUUGGCAUGCCAGCCCUCGGGCUGUGCAGACAGACACAUUGAAGGGAAUCAGGCUGGAGGACAGAGUUGGAAGCACAGACGGGAGACGCUUGAGGGAGCUGCGCUCCCUUCCUUCUUGCCAGGAUGCGCCCAGGUGCCCCUGGCCCCAGUGACACAUCACGGGACCCAAAGCCGGCAGGACAAACUCAGCUCCCCUGUGCCGCACGUAGCGCCAGGGCAGGUGUCU
rnacentral:lncRNA from 1 species